CCCUUAAGCUUAGUUGCCAUCAUUAAGUUGGGCACUCUAAGUUGACUGCCGGUGACAAACCGGAGGAAGGUGGGGAUGACGUCAAAUCAUCAUGCCCCUUAUGAUUUGGGCUACACACGUGCUACAAUGGACAAUACAAAGGGCAGCGAAACCGCGAGGUCAAGCAAAUCCCAUAAAGUUGUUCUCAGUUCGGAUUGCAGUCUGCAACUCGACUACAUGAAGCUGGAAUCGCUAGUAAUCGCGGAUCAGCAUGCUACGGUGAAUACGUUCCCGGGCCUUGUACACACCGCCCGUCACACCACGAGAGUUUGUAACACCCGAAGUCGGUGGAGUAACGUU
rnacentral:rRNA from 1 species